CGGGGUGAGUAAUGUCUGGGAAACUGCCCGAUGGAGGGGGAUAACUACUGGAAACGGUAGCUAAUACCGCAUAACGUCGCAAGACCAAAGUGGGGGACCUUCGGGCCUCAUGCCAUCAGAUGUGCCCAGAUGGGAUUAGCUAGUAGGUGGGGUAACGGCUCACCUAGGCGACGAUCCCUAGCUGGUCUGAGAGGAUGACCAGCCACACUGGAACUGAGACACGGUCCAG
rnacentral:rRNA from 1 species